UAAUACAUGCAAGUCGAACGCGUCUUGGUUAAAGAUUUUAGGUGCUUGCAUUUAAAUGAUUUAACAUUGAGACGAGUGGCGAACUGGUGAGUAACACGUGGGUAACCUGCCCUUGAAGUAGGGGAUAACACUUGGAAACAGGUGCUAAUACCGUAUAACAACUCAAACCACAUGGUUUGAGUUUGAAAGAUGGCUUCGGCUGUCACUUUAGGAUGGACCCGCGGCGUAUUAGCUUGUUGGUGAGGUAACGGCUCACCAAGGCAAUGAUACGUAGCCGACCUGAGAGGGUAAUCGGCCACAUUGGGACUGAGACACGGCCCAAACUCCUACGGGAGGCAGCAGUAGGGAAUCUUCCACAAUGGACGAAAGUCUGAUGGAGCAACGCCGCGUGAGUGAUGAAGGGUUUCGGCUCGUAAAACUCUGUUGUUGGAGAAGAACAGGUGUGAGAGUAACUGUUCACAUCUUGACGGUAUCCAACCAGAAAGCCACGGCUAACUACGUGCCAGCAGCCGCGGUAAUACGUAGGUGGCAAGCGUUGUCCGGAUUUAUUGGGCGUAAAGCGAGCGCAGGCGGUUUUUUAGGUCUGAUGUGAAAGCCUUCGGCUUAACCGGAGAAGUGCAUCGGAAACCGGGAGACUUGAGUGCAGAAGAGGACAGUGGAACUCCAUGUGUAGCGGUGAAAUGCGUAGAUAUAUGGAAGAACACCAGUGGCGAAGGCGGCUGUCUGGUCUGUAACUGACGCUGA
rnacentral:rRNA from 1 species